rnacentral:rRNA from 1 species
UACGGAGGGUGCAAGCGUUACUCGGAAUUACUGGGCGUAAAGCGUGCGUAGACGGUUAUGUAAGUCAGGUGUGAAAGCCCCGGGCUCAACCUGGGAAUUGCAUUUGAGACUGCAUAGCUAGGGUGCGGAAGAGGGAAGCGGAAUUUCCGGUGUAGCGGUGAAAUGCGUAGAUAUCGGAAGGAACAUCAGUGGCGAAAGCGGCUUCCUGGUCCAGCACCGACGUUCAGGCACGAAAGCGUGGGGAGCAAACAGG